UACGUAGGGUGCAAGCGUUAAUCGGAAUACUGGGCGUAAAGCGUGCGCAGGCGGUUCGCUAAGACCGAUGUGAAAUCCCCGGGCUAACCUGGGAACUGCAUUGGUGACUGGCGGGCUAGAGUAUGGCAGGAGGGGGGUAGAAUUCCACGUGUAGCAGUGAAAUGCGUAGAGAUGUGGAGGAAUACCGAUGGCGAAGGCAGCCCCUGGGCCAAUACUGACGCUCAUGCACGAAAGCGUGGGGAGCAAACAGG
rnacentral:rRNA from 1 species